rnacentral:lncRNA from 1 species
AAUCGAGCUGAGAAAGAACUUGAAAAAUCAUCAUCAUUUGAAUAACCAUCAUCGAAAUUUUGUAAGUAAGAGCUGGGAUCAUAUAGAAACACAGGUGAAGAUGAUCUAAAUAUUCUCCUCUUGUUUUCUCUCUUGAUCUUCCUCCACAGUGUUUUCAACCUUGGUAUCUUUAUUUUGCUCAUAAAUUCAUUGACACAUACAAUAGGGUCACUUCCAAUUCUCUCAUAACUUGACCAAAUGCAGUUGUUUCUUGAGCCUAGACAGUCGCAGUUUUCAAGGUCCAUAGUGUAUGGAGUAGAUAACAAAGAAAGUUUAAAAUAGUUUAAGGAAUCAAUGUGUUUGGAGUGUAUGUACUAAUUAAGACUAAGGAUAAAGGCUAUUUAUAUAGUGAUGGCAUGAACAACUUUUCUUUCCAUUUUUUGAAUCUCCUCAUCACCACAUCAGCAAAGCACAUACUUUGGGCUAAAUUUGACCAACAAAAAGAAAUGGAUAAAAGUUUGGAUAAUGCAGCAAUUUAAAACUUGCUUUCGAUGUCAGCAUUUCAAGUUGUUACUAUGUGUUUUUUAAAAGCAAUAUUAAAAUUUCUUUUUGCUGUCAACAAUCCAAGUCGGUAUGAUAUUUUUUUGAAGAUUCAAUGGUGACUGUAAUACUACGUAGUGAGAUGGAGCAUGGCUUAAUUGUCGAGUUACUUUAGAAAAAGAUACACAAUGAACUUUUCGAACACCUAAAACCUUCCUUAUGUAUAUAUUUUCGAAACACUUAUAUUCAAAUAUUUCCCAAAACUUUGGUGAUUGAUUCGGAGUUUUUAUUUUGGUUAAAAAAGUGAGUUAGGUCGAUUUGGUGGACGAGGUAACGAAAAGAUUAAUGAAAAGUGCUCUAGGAUCCUCCAAUUUUUUCCCGUUGGUUUUUUUCACAAAGGUGAAAUCCUCACUCUUCACCUAGGUUGGUUUUAUACCGAGGUGAAAUCAAUAAUAACAACACUAUUCUUCAAGAUGGAUUGUAAGAGCAGAGCAAUAUUUUGAUCAAGAUUUGUUCCUUAAUAUAUCUCUUCUCUUGUAAGUGUUAAAAUUAAUUUCUUUGCAUGCUUGUUAAAAAUGUUUAUGAUAGUUAUGAUAACAUGAAUGUGACUUAGCAAUGUUAGUUGUUGUUGUGUCAAGUAAAAUAUUUAAUAUUGUUGAGAUUUAACAUUUAACGUAUCUUCUGACUGAGCGAAAUUUAUUUUCAAUAUUUCCAACAACAAUAACUAACAUUGUCAUGUUACAUUCAUGCUUUCCUAACUAACCAAACAUUUUUAACAAGCAUGCAUUUAGGAAAAUAAUUUUAGCAUGUACAAGAGAAGAUAUUACAUUAAGGAACAAACUUUGAAACAUUUUUAUGUUCUUGCAAUCCAUCCUAGAGAAUGAUAUUGUACUUCAUGCAACUGCUUUCACCAUCACAGUUUUAAUUUCAUUAAGUUUGAGUAGGUCAUAAAUAAGUAAAUAAAAAAGUGCUAAAAUGCAGUUGCUGGAAUUUGAAGGUUGUUGAUCAAAAUUUUUUCCUUCGGUUGCCAGUUCAACCAAGGGAAUAGAUAGUCAGUUUUUAUUAAAAAAAUUGAAAUGUGGUGUGCCUAUAGUUUUACACAUCGGUUGCUCGUUGGCUGAUAUAUGCUCUUAUUAAAAAUUUCAAAGUAAGGAAUAUUUUGAAACUUAAGAGCUAAAAGCAUGUGAAUUCAUUCAUCUUGAAAACACAAAAAUGUGCAAGGUUUGAGGUAUGCGUUCAAUUCGUCCAAGGAUGUUUGACAUCAUGUGAAUUCCUUUUACAAGAUGUGAGGUAUGCUCCCGAUCUUAAGCUAAAUUUUUUAUUCAUAGGCAUGUUUGAUAGGUUAGGUUAUUACACUAGACUUUAACACGACAUGAUAAAAAUUUUGUAUCGUACAUUAAUAAUAGCUAAAAAUACUAAAAUGUAUUGUUUAUUUAUAGACCGUACACUACUACAAAAAAUACAUUUAACUUCGGAUGCAAAGUUGAUUUAACCUCGGUUACAAAGGCGAGGUAAUGAAGGGCGUCAUUAAAAUCUGUCACUUUACCCCUCGAUUUUAGAAUAGCCAAGAGGAUACUUGAAAUGGUGAUUGAUUCGACAUCCAUCAAUAGUUUUUUUAUAUUUUUAAAACUAGCGUCAUACAUUUUUCAGUUUAUGAACAAAAUCAAAGGGAAAAAUAUAUUCUUUUUUCAAAAUACUCAUUACAUUAUUUACACAGACUACUAAUAAACUAAUUUAUUUAAAAAUUACAUCUUGGGGAAUCUGAUUUAUCGUCAUCCAUGUCGGUGAAGAACAAAUGUUGGAUAUCUUGGGGAAAAAUAAAUGUUGGAAAUCCUCAUUUAAUUGAUCUUGAUGAAGAUCAAAUGUUGGAUGAAAUCUAUUCUCUAUGUCUUUUCCAUUCAUUUAUUUUGAAUAUAAAACAAAAAAAAGUUAGAUAAAUAAAAUAAAUAUUCAGUUAUAUAUUUAUUUAAGAACACAAAUCUUGAAUCCAAAUAAUUUUCUGCUCUUACAAUUCAUCAUAGAGAAAAUUUCUCAAAUAAAAUAAACGUAUUUUUAUAAGUUUUAAAGUUUUCAUUUCAAAUGUUUCAUUUUCAAUUUUCACAAAUGUUCUUAUAAUGUCUUUUAGGUUUCACGCGGAUCAUUAAUGAAAGUGUCUUUAGCAUUGAUAAUCAUUAAACGGACGACAAAUAUGUGUUUGGUGAAGAAACUCAAUAAAAACACUUAUACUUUCCCUUGGUUUUUACUCAAAACGGAGAUAAAAUGGGUUUUUUUAAAUAAAAAAUACAAUAAAAUAUGUUACAUCCAAAGUGCCACAUACCUUUUGAUUUUUGUAAAAAAACCGAGGAAAAAUGUUUUCUUUUUAAAUAAAAAAUAUAAUAAAAUAUUUUUCAUUCCAAGCGCCACAUACCUCUCGUUUUCUAUAAAAAAAUCGAGGGGAAAAAACUUCUUUUUUAAUUACAUUAUUUACACAUAAUAUUAAAAUAAAUUGUUUAAACAAAUAUUUUCAAAACCGAAAGAAUUUUUUUUCUGCACUUGCAAUCCAUUCACUACAAAAAAAUUGUAUGUAGACAUGUGAUAUUCACUUCGCAAUGUGAAAAAUCAGUUCACAAAACAUUUUUAGCGACGUGAACUUUCACGCGGCUGGAGUACGUGUGGCAACUCAGUUGCGUCAUGAGAAUCACGUUGCAACUUUACCACGUGAAAAUCACGUCGCAACAGUUUGCCACGUGAUAUUCAUGAUACAACAUUUUGCACAGACUUUUCCCACUUUAUCUGCUGUAAUUUACAAGUUACAGUGAUGGCAGAAAAGGUUACCGUGAGUUGCGACGUGAUUUUCACUUCAUGCCACGUGAAAAUCACGUCACAAUUUUUUUUAAAUAAAAAAUAUAUUAUUUAUUUUAUGUUUUAAUAUAUACUAAAAUUAAUUAAAAAAAUUGUUAUGUUUAAAAACAAAUUAUUUCACACCAUUAUGUUUAAAAAUAAUAUUCUAUUUAAAUAUAUUACAAAAAAUAAUAUAUUAUGAAAAAUAAUAUACUUUAAUAAUAUAUUAUGUAAAAUAAUAUUUUAUUUUAAAAAAAAUAAUAUAUAAGCAGAAUAAUAUAUUAUAAAAAAUAUAUUAUGAAAAAUAAUAUUUUGUUUUUUUUUAAAAAAAUUGUUUAAAUAUAUUAAUAAAAAUAACCAACAACCCAAUGAUAUAUAUAUAUAUAUAUAUAUAUAAAAUAAAUUUCUUAAAUAUCUCAAUGAAGAUAAAAAAAAAUGAAUCUUAAAGCAUGAAGGUUGAAUCUUGAAUAAAAAAAUUGAACAAUGUUAAUUAUAAAAUAAAAAAGUCAACACAAAAUUUAACAAGUAUAAAACGAAAAAUGAAAAUGAAAAAUCUGAGCUGUCUUGAAAUACCUUUUAAUUUGAAGAUGAAAAUUCAAAGCUGAAAAUUGAGAAAGAAGAGGAAAAAUGUUGGAGGAGAUAAAAUGUUGGAAGAGGAAAAAUGGUGGAGGAGGAAAAGUUGAAAGAGGAAAAUUAAGAAAGAAGCUGAAUUUGUAAAUAUAUAGAGCAAUUAACUACGUGAUUUUCACUUGACAACUUUGUCACGUGAUUUCCACUUCACAACGUUCCCUCAUAAACUUUUUUUUUAAUUUUUGAAUUUAACGUUGCAAAGUGAUUUUCACGUCACAACUUAAAUUUUGAAAAUUUUAAAUUUCCCUCCAUCUCCCAACCUGUGUAUGCUUGACUUUUUUAUUUCACGUGGCAAAGUUGUGAAGUAAAAAUCACGUGACAAAGUUGUGAAGUAAAAAUCAUGUUGCUGAUUGCUCUAUAUAUUUCCAGAUUUUCGCUCUCUCACACAGCUCAGAUUCAGCUUCUUUCUGAAAUUUCCUUUAGAACUUUGCCACAUGAUUUUUAUUUCACAACUUUGCCAAAUGAUUUUCACUUCACAACUUUCCCUCCUAAACAUUUUUGUUUUAAUUUAACGUUGCGAAGUGAUUUUCACGUCACAACUUAAAAUUUGAAAACUUUCAAAUUUUCCCCCAUCUGCCAACCUGUGCACGCUUGACUUUUUUUUUUUUUUACUUUUCAAAGUUGCGACGUGAUUACCACAUCACAAUUCUUUUUGCAGCCUUUCCCAUGUGCAAGUCUGACUCUCAAUUUUUUAAUAAUAAAAACAUGUAACGACGUGAUUAUGACGUCGCAAUUCCUUUUUUUCGCCAUGUGAUUUUCAUGUCACUGUAUCACAUGAUUGGAGAAAAAUUCUCUUGUAGUGAUUCCAGAAAUAUUUUAUUAUCUUAAGUAAAUGGUUUUAUGAAAAAUGUUUUCACCCAUUGUGCUUUACUUUAAUGCAUUUCUCUCUAUGCUUAGAAAAAAUAGAUUUGAAUUAGUUAAGUUAAUAGUUUCUAAUAAAUUAUCGAACAAAAUAAUUUAUAGAAGAGUUAUAUGGUGUUGGUGUUUUCUUUACUUUAUUUUCUUUCUAUUAGUAUAUCAUUAGAAAUUAUAAGUUAUAUAUUAAUGUAUAUGUAUUAAAAUACAAUGUUAAUUUUUUCAUACGUUAAAAGGAAAAGUAUAUAAAAAAAAUAAAAAAUAGAAGGGAGUAGAAAACAUAUAUGACAGAAGAAAUGAGAAAUGAAAUCUUUUACAAAAUCUAACAGUUAAAAUAGAUUUACAAGAUAACAUAACUAAAACCUUUGUACAAUUAUAAGUCAUAAUUCCCAAGUAAGAAAGAAAUUGAGUCCAGAUUAAGGAACUCAAACAUCAUGUUGCUAGCUCGUUUAUUUCCGUUAUUUCUUCGUCAAACUUCAGCUCAGUGUUCUUCUUAAAAAUCUUGGAGGUUGGGGUUGCAUAUCGAGCUGAGAAUGAACUCGAAAAAUCAUCAUUAUUGGAAUAACCAUCAUCAAAGUUUUGUAAGUAAGAGCUAGAAUCGUAUAGAAACACAGGUGAAGAUGAUCUAAAAAUUCUCCUCUUGUUUUCUCUCUUGAUCUUCCUCCACAGUGUUUUCAACCUUGGUAUCUUUAUUUUGCUCAUAAAUUCAUUGACACAUACAAUAGGGUCACUUCCAAUUCUCUCAUAACUUGACCAAAUGCAGUUGUUUCUUGAGCCUAGACAGUCGCAGUUUUCAAGAUCCAUAGUGUAUGGAGUAGAUAAUAAAGAAAGUUUAAAAUAGUUUAAGGAAUCAAUGUGUUUGGAGUGUAUGUACUAAUUAAGACUAAGGAUAAAGGCUAUUUAUAUAGUGAUGGCAUGAACAACUUUUCUUUCCAUUUUUUGAAUCUCCUCAUCACCACAUCAGCAAAGCACAUACUUUGAGCCAAAUUGGACCAACAAAAAGAAAUGGAAAAAAGUAUGGAUAAUGCAGAAAAUUUAGAACUUCCUUUUGAUGUCAGCAUUUCAAGUUGUGUUUUUUAAAAGCAAUAUUAAAAUUUCUUUUUGAUGUCAACAAUCCAAGUCGGUAUGAUAUUUUUUUGAAGAUUCAAUAGUAACUGUAAUACUACGUAGUCACAUGGAGCAUGGCUUAAUUGUGGAGUUACUUUGGAGAAAGAUACACAAUGAAUGUUUCGAACAACUAAAACCUGCUUUAUGUAUAUACUUCCCAAACAAAAACUUUUGAUUGAGAAAAACACUGCAAAAUAUUUUAAUUGUCAAAAGAUGGGCCAUUUUAAAAAGAAUUGUCCCAAAAAAGUGAGUAAUGAUCGAUGAUUUUGUGCAAGUGUUGAUUACUGCAGAGAGGUUGGUUUUAAGAAUGUAGGGUGUUGGUGGUGACAAAUUAAUAAACCAAAAAAAAAAAAAAUAGGAUCUUAAAUUCCCGAUGCUUUUGUCACAAAUGUCAAAGUAAGAAACACUUUGAAACUUAAGAGUUAAUUGAACGUGUAUUCAUUCACCUUGAAAACAACAAACUCUACAAAGGUAAAUGUACGGGUUUUUUUUGGGAUUCAACUAUGAGUGGUUAAAAUUUGACAUCAAUUGGAAAUUUAGAAAAUGUUGAGUUAAGAAAUGAAAGAAUUCAUACCCCUAUUGUCUUAAGGUUUUUGAUUGAUAUGUGAUGUCAAAUUUUCUUGGAUCCUAAAUCUUUAGCCUAUAUACACUUUUGGCUCUCCCGAACUCCCCAACAAGUGGCAUCAGAGUCAUGUUUAUGCUCGAUGGGGGAGUGGAAGUGAAAUUCUAGUAUGAAUCAGAACUUGUGAUGUGGGUAACUCACACUUGUGGGAAGAUUGUUGGAAUUCAAAUGUUAAUGUUAAGUACCACUUCAACUAAAAGUGGAGAAGUGAUAUAUAAGAGCAAGGACUCAUACACUACUACGAAAAAAAAUCCUAUGACAACGGUUGGAAAAGACAUAUAAUGACGGUUGAACGUCUGUUUUUAGGUAAUGUGUGGUUGUAAGUGUGUCAUUUACAACCACGGUCUAUUGUUCAUUGUAGUAAACUGGAAAACUCACUACCUGUAACCACGGUUGUAUGAAACAACUAUUGUGAAAUUAUUUAUAGAUCAUGAGUUUGAUACCCAGCAACGUCAUUUUUGGGGUUUAUUAUUCUGAAUAAUGUUCUACCUAUAACAACAAUUACAUUAUACAACCGUUGUGAAAUUAUUUGUUUUUUAAAUAUAUAUUUUCUUAUUUUUCAGAAUUCUUAAUUUUUUAAUCUGAUUUUUUUAAAUCGUAUCAGACCAGAAACAACAACACACCCAUGUGUGAAUCGUAUCAGAGAAAAAAUUGUAUUACAUCAAAGGAAAAAUUGCAUUAAGAACCAAAAAUUUGAUAUUACAUUAAAUUCAAAAUAGCACAAAACAACCUACAAUUUACACAUCAUUACAUCAAAUAGUAACAUCUUGGUGUCUUGGUAUUUUGUCUCUCGGUGUCUUGACUUUAAACACCUAUAAUUUCAAAUAAUAAUACUUGUUAGUAAAUAACCUUAAAAAUUAUAACUUACAAUACAUUAUGAGUAAAGAUUAAAAUAUACUUGUUACUUUUUCCACAUGCCUUCCUGAUGAUUGUUACGAAUAACAUGCACAUCAUUUCUAUCAACUUCUUCAUAUGAAGUAGGCACUUAUGUUGCGUAAGGAGUGGAAGGAAUAUCAAAAUGUUCAUCACUAUGAGGAAUGUAUUUUUCUUCGAUAACAAUUGAUCAUCUCCUCAAUAAGUAUGAAGGGUCUAUCACAUGAAAAACUUGUUUUUCUUGAGUAGUCAUAAUGAAUGGUUCAGUCAUAUAAGUUGCCUUGCCAAUGUCAAUCCGUGUGAAUUUCAACUCAUCAGUUCGUAAACCAUUUUUAUUGAUAACCCACUUGCAUUUAAAUAAAGACAAUUUGAAAAUAACAUAAUCAAUCUCCAAAAUCUACUCAACCAUAGAACGCUUUAGAUGCCAAUAUAAGAUUCUUAUCUUUCGAACAAGAGAAAUACAUGAAUUUGACCUCAACUAUAACCCCACUAUUUUGCAUUGUACUACGAUCAUCUUUUGCUUUUAUAUAAAAGGAAAAAUUAGAAAUGUCAUAUGCAGUCUAAGUUAUCACAUUAAAUUUUGGCAUGUACGACAAGCAUUUAAUUAUCUCUUUUGCACUAUCAUCAUUGGAUAUACUUUCACUGAAUCAAUUUCAACAAAUUUCAACAGGUUCUUCUAUGAUGUACCUUUCAUCGAUCAAAGUCUUCGGUCAGUGCUGAUUCUCUGUAAAUCCUUUAAAGAUAUUAAUGUAUCGCCCUAUUGGAUGAAUCCACUUUAAAUAAACUAGACCACAAAAUCUGAUUUCUCUGACUAGAUGAACAAGUAAGUGAACUAUAAUGUCAAAAAACGUUGGAGGAAAAUACAUUUCCAAUUGACAUAAGAUUAUCUGAUUAUAAUGAAAAAUGUAUUGAAAUAGAUGAUCAAAUGUGUAUAUUGUGAUCUUAUUUAUAGACUUAAUUGUCUAACUAAUUGAGUAACUUACACUUAACUGUAUAUUGAAUAAUUUACACUUAACUGUAUAUUGAAUAAUUAUGAGUAACUAUCAAUGUAAACUUGUGAAAUUUAAUAUUUUAGACUUUGUAAGGUUAUAUUUUUUAUGAGUAAUUAUUAGUGACUAUUAGGGUAAUUAGUGUGUGGUUCUAUAUUUACAUAGGAGAUGCCAAUUAAAUUGAGGUUACGUAUUUUUUUUUUUAAUUUAAUUUUUGUUUUUGUUAAAUUUUUGUGUAAAUUUGACGUUUUCUACUGAUUUUUCUACAUAAAAUUAUGUUUUAGUUUCGCAAGCAAAACACUACGUAGGUAAAUCUAUAGAAAAUGUAAAAUUUGCAAGAAAGUUCGUAGAAAAUAUAAAUAAAUUGAGCAACCCUCAAUUUCUCUAACUCACCUUUUUUUUUUUACUAUAGAAAAUGUAAAAUUUGCAAGAAAGUUCGUAGAAAAUAUAAAUAAAUUGAGCAACCCUCAAUUUCUCUAACUCACCUUUUUUUUUUUUUUUGUUUGAAACAUGUGUAUAUUGAAAGAUAUGAUGAAAGAUUGGUUUAUUAGUAUUAAGGGUUGGAAAAAUGGUUAUUUGGGAAAAAAUAGUCUAUUAGUUAAAAAAUAAAAAUAAAACUAUUUAUGUUGUUGUAGUAUUAUUAAUUAAUAUUGUAAUUUUAAGAAUUUUGAUUAAAUUAUAUAGUGACUAUUAUUAAUGAGUUCUCAUGUUAAAUGGCACAUAUAAUAGUGAAAUUAUUUGUUCUGAUUAUGAAUAUUACUGUAAGAUAAUGGAAAUCGUAUCCUUCUCGUUGAUCUGAAUAGAAUAUAUAUACAUCAAUGUGUAACAUUUGGUCAACUAUCUAAUUAUGAUACAACAUAAUUAUAGGAAAAAUAAUUAUGACUAAUUAUGACAAAAUAUUCAAUUCUAUCAUACCCCCGCAGUCGAAGCGGGAGGUUCACGGACGCUUAAACUGGUCCGAAAAUCAUCAAAGAGAAUGCGAGGAAGUCCUUUGGUGAAGAUGUCUGCGAUGUGAUAUCUUGAGGGAACAUGAAGGACUCGAGCCUGACCACGAGUUACCUUUUCCUGAAUAAAAUGAAUGUCCAUCUCAAUAUGCUUAGUACGCUGAUGUUGCACAUGAUUACCAGAUAAAUAGAUGACAUUAACAUUGUCACAAUACACCAAAGUGGCAUGAGGAAUAGGAAAAUGGAGUUCCAGGAGAAGAUUGCGAAUCCAACACGAUUCGGAGACAACAUUGGCAAUCUCCCUAUAUUCGGCUUCAACACUGGAACGGGAGAGAGUUGGCUGCCUUUUAGAAGACCAAGAAAUAAGGUUGUCACCUAGAAAAAUACAGUAACCAGAUGUAGAACGUCUGGUGUCAGGACAUCCACCCCAAUCAGCGUCAGUGUAGGAGAUAAGCUUUGUAAUGGGAGAUGGGGAUAAGUGUAGUCCAAAAUGUAAGGUGCCGUGAACAUAGCGCAAAAUGCGCUUAAGAGCAAGCAUGUGUUUUGUGCGAGGGGCAUGCAUGUGAAGACAAACUUGUUGAACAACAUAUGAUAUAUCAGGUCGAGUGAAGGUGAGAUACUAUAGGGACCAUGCAAGACUCCGAUACAAGGACGGAUCCUCAUAAGAAGUGUCGGAGAAGGUGUUGAGUUUCUGCUUGGUGUUAAUUAACAGGAGUGGCUGAUGGUUUACAGGACGCCAUGCCAUCAGGAUGACGAGAUACUUCAAUACCCAGAAAGUAACUUAGAGGGCCCAAAUCCUUCAUUGUAAACUCGGAUGCUAAGAGUGACAUAAUUGAUUGGCGGAGGACCUGAGUGGAGGUGAUGAGGAUGAGGUCGUCUACAUCCAGCAGAAUGUAGGCCAUGUCUAAACCUUGUCGAUAUAUGAAGAGGGAGUGGUCUGAUGUGCUAUGGCGAAAGCCAAUAGUGGCGACAUAGUCAGCAAAACGUUGGUACCAUGCCCUAGGCGCUUGCUUGAGACCAUACAAUGACUUCUUCAACUAACAUACAUAAUUUGGAUGACGAAGGUCGCAGAAACCCAAUGGCGGAUGCAUGUAAACAGUCUCAUGAAGAUCACCAUGUAAAAAGGCAUUUUGGACAUCCAGUUGAUGAAUGGGCCGGGAUUUGGAGAGAACAAUGGUAAGCAUUGUUCGAAUGGUAGCGGGUUUCACCAUAGGGCUAAAAGUCUCAUCACAAUCCACACCUACAACCUGUGACCUGCCAUCACCUACAAGACGAGCCUUAUAACGCUCAAAGGAGCCAUCAGAAUUUUUCUUAUGCCUAAAAAUCCACAUAUAUCGAAUAAGAUUAGCAUCACAAGGACGAGGAACUAAAUCCCACGUCUUAUUUCGAAUAAGAGCAUCAAAUUCAUAUUGCAUUGCGGAUUUCCAAUUCGGGUCUGAUAAGGCUAGUUUGGACACAUAUAUCGAAUAAGAUUAGCAUCACAAGGACGAGGAACUAAAUCCCACGUCUUAUUUCGAAUAAGAGCAUCAAAUUCAUAUUGCAUUGCGGAUUUCCAAUUCGGGUCUGAUAAGGCUAGUUUGGAGUUUUUAGGUAUGGUUGAGAUGGUGUGGUCAGAGUGAGAGAUUCAUAAGUUAAAUAUCGUGCGGGGUUUGACAAUGCCUUUCAUGCUUCGGGUGGUGGUGGUUCGUGUAAGUGGAGGUGGAUGCGGUUGAAUUGAUGGUGGUGAUGGAGAGUUUAUUGUAAUGGGUUUGUUGAUCAAAGAGGUAGGAGAUGAUGAUUGUUGGUUUAUUGAGGGUAGUGGUUGGUCAAUUGGGAUUGUGGGUGUUGGUUGAUUAUGUGCAAGAGGUGGUGAAAUUUGAUUUUGCCAUUGAUGUAUAAGAUGGGGGUGAAGGUCAUCAUCUAGGAAUUGAUAAGAGUGAGGUGAAGGGGAGUGUAUCUUGGUGAAGGGAAAUUGAGUUUCAUCAAAGAUAACAUGCCUCGAAAUUAUUAAUUUUCUAUUAGACAAAUCAAACCACUUGUACCCUCUAUGAUUCGGCGGAUAACUCAAGAAGACACACGGAGUAGAGCGGGGUUGUAACUUAUGAAUGGUAGAUAACGGGAAUAAUGGAUAACAUAGACAACCCAAGACUCUGAGAUGUGUGUAGGUGGGAUCACGAUGAUACAUGAGUUGUGUUGGUGACUGAUUAUGAAGUGUUUUAAAGGGAAUAAUAUUUAACAGGUAAGUUGCCAUGUGGAAAGCAUAAUGCCAAAACGAGGUGGGAACAGAAGAAUGAGCUAGCAUAUUGCGUAUCAUAUUAUUAAUGGUUCUUAUUUUGCAUUUCGCUUUCCCAUUUUGUGAGGAUGUGUGGGAACAAGAGAAAUGAAAAACUAGACCAUGAUCAGUGCAAUAUUUUUGAAAAAGCUCAUUAUUAUAUUCACCGCCAUUGUCACAUUGAAAUGUUUUGACUUUUUGCAAAAAUUGAGUUUGAAUGGGUUGAGUAAGUGACUUGAACGUUUCAAACACAUGAGAUUUUCUGCUAAUAGGAAAAGUCCACAAGAAGUUUGUAAAAUCAUCUAAAAAUAAGACAUAAUAUUUAUGACCAACAAAACUUAAAAUUGGAGAGGUCCAUAAAUCACUAUGUAAAAUGUCAAAAGGCAUCAAAGUCGUAGUUUGAGAAUCAAAAAAUGGCAAUUUAACCUGUUUGCCUAAAACACAAUAGUCACAAACGACAGAAGAAUUAAAAGGUUCACAGUAGUUUGAGAAUCAAAAAAUGGCAAUUUAACCUGUUUGCCUAAAACACAAUAGUCACAAACGACAGAAGAAUUAAAAGGUUCACAACAUAUGAACUUAUUUUUGCGAAGGGAAUUCAAAACAGACAUGCCAGGAUGACCAAAACGAUUAUGCCAAAGACUGGAUGUGAGACCGACAAAACUAGGAGGAGUGGUAACUGGAUAAAGAUCUUCACGACUGUCACAUCUGAGAAGGGUGAUCCCCGUCUGAAAAUCAGAGACAGUAAAACCAAAAGGAUCAAAUGAAAUAGAAACAGUGUUGUCAGUGGUGAGUCGUCUCAUAGAAAUUAAACUUUUAAUAAUUUUUGGGGCAUGCAGGACAUGGUUAAAGUGAAGUGGUUGGUGAGAUGUGGUUAUUUGUGUGUGUUUGGUGCCGUGGAUUGGAAUUCCAUGGCCACUUCCAACAAUGACUUUAUGAUUUGAAUCACUUACUGGAAAAUAAGACGAGAGAUUACCAUGUGAUGCGGUUGUGUGAGAUGUUGCCCCCGUGUCCUUGUACCACUGAUUGUCAAGAGUGUGGAGUGACAUGGUGUGCAUUGUGGUCUCAAUGUAUGUUGGUAUCUGAGAUGACGUAGAUGUUGCACACACCUGAGGACGCUUCCUAGAAUGCCUGGCUGCUUAGGAGGGCCGACAGGGCAUGUCCACCGAGAGGUGGGAUACGGACAAGGUGGCAUAGUCCAUGGUGGUGGAGUCCAACCCCAUGGUUACCAGGUUAGGUGUUGUUGUUGUUGCCAAGGAGGAGCGGACCAAGGCGAGGGAGCGCUGGGAGCUCCAGACUGCGGUGCACUAUAGUUACCACGUCCCCCUCCGCGACCCUUGUUUCCACGAGAGCGAGAACGGUUGUCGGGACGACAGUUGCCACGCUGAGAGGUGUCUUCAGUAGGUUUCAAUUGAGUGGUGUGCAUAGCAGCAUGAGAGCCUGUGUUUUCCAUCUUAGCCAUACCGGCUUCUUCCAAAGUGAUCAUGGAACGAGCCUGAUAGAAUGCCGGAAGAGGGUUGCUCUGGCGAAUCAAAGUAGCAACAUUGCGGUAAGCUUCUGGGAGACCCGAGAUUAGCUGAAGGACCAGACGAUGAUUGUUGACAGGGGAGCCGACAUUUCUCAACUGAUUAGAAAGCAUUUUAAGACACUGACAGUAAGCUGAGACAUUGAGAAAAUCCUCCAUACGAGUGUUAGAGAACUCUUGCUCAAGAGUGACAGCUCGAGCAUUUUGGUUGUCUUGAAAAAUAUCUUCCAAGCGAUUCCAUGCUUCCAUUACAGUGGAGUUGGGUUAUAGAAUAGUGCUUAGCAAAUCGGUAGAAAUAGUGGAAUAAAUCCACUGAAGAACGGUGGCAUCAAGAGUGGACCAUUUUUCAUGGUUGGCAUUGGUAACGGCUGGUGGCUCUUUUCCAAUAGAUGGAACGAUGUGAUGUACGACUCGAUGUGAGCGAGCAUGGACGCGGAAAAGCUCGGCCCAGGUACCAUAUUGAUCUUUUUCCAUCUCAAGAAUAAUAGGAAUAUGGUUCCUAAUAUUGGAGACGACAAGAGCGGGAUGAAACUUCGAUUUGGAACCUCGAAAUAUGGUGUUCUUGGGCUGCCCAAAAUCACUAGUAUCGGCGGCUUUGUGGGUAUCGGCGUCACUGUGUUCUGAAUGGUCUGACUCAGACAUGGCUGCAGGUACGAAGGGGGCACGAACAGAGGCGGAACGUGAAAGAAUAGGGUGGUUUUCGUGUUCGGCGGCGGCGCUACAGAGGACAAUAGUCUUGUUUCGACGACAAACUUCAAGGAGGGAGAAGAAGCAUGCAACAGUGGACUGUAAUGAGGGAGAAGAAGAAAUGUUGUGUUUGCUUUUUUUAGAGAAAGGGAUUGGUUAGGAUUGAUACCAUGCAAGAUAAUGGAAAUCGUGUCCUUAUCAUUGAUCUGAAUAGAAUAUAUAUACAUAUGUUGGUGUAAGCCCUAGAGGCCAAUACUUUUGGUACUUGUAUCGAAUUAUUUAUUAAUAAUAAAAGGCUUUUUCCUUUAUUAUGUUUGUUUAAUAAAGCCCCUAGAAUAGCUAGUCCGUUUAAUGUAUCAAGUGUGACUUAAUCAUGAGAUCACAUUAAACAUAAGGACACUAUUCUUAAAGUAUCUGUAGUCGAGCUUUAUUGUGAAGUGGGAUAACAUUAAAGCAAAAUCAUGAGAUCACAUUAAACAUAAGGACACUAUUCUUAAAGUAUCUGUAGUCGAGCUUUAUUGUGAAGUGGGAUAACAUUAAAGCAUUAAGACUAUUAUGUAUAUAGACUGAUGAUCACAUUUCAUAGAUCAUGGAUAAGGAGUUAUCAAGUCUUAAACAUAGGUAUGAAUAUUAAGAAUAAUAUUUAUACUGGAUUGACUCGCUAUGAGAGUACUAUAUAGAAUGUUAUGCAAAGUGUCAUAAGUUAUUCUCAUGGUGAUAAUGGUGUAUACCACCCUUCGACCUGAAACCACUAUGGACCCUAGAUGUAGAGUCAAAUGCCUUAUUGCUGAUCAAACAUUGUCCAUAACUGGAUGACCAUAAAGACAGUUGAUGGGUACUCCACGAAACAUGUUGAGGGACAUGAGUGACCUAGAUGGAAUUUGCCCAUCCUGCGUAACAGGAUAAAUGUCUAUGGGCCCAAUAUUGAACUGGACAAGGAUGACACGGUCUAUGCCUUGUGUUCAAUAUAGACAUAAGGGCAAAAGGGUAAUUAUACACAUAAGUAUUAUCACAGAAGGAUUUGUCAGAUCACAUGACAUUUUCGUGUCUUGGGUAGCAGUGAUGUGUUGCUAGAUACCGCUCACUGUUUAUUAUGUUAAAUACGUGAUUUAAUAUAAUUGUCAAUGCCGCGAAAACCUAUAGGGUCACACAUAAAAAGACGUAUUGAUGAGAGAUAGAGUAACUAAGGAACACCGUAAGGUACGAUGCACUUAAGUAAAUUGUAGAACAUCGUAAGGUACAGUGUACUUAAGUAGAAUACGAAAUAUGGUAAGGUAUCACACGCUUAAGUGAUUUUGGCAUAUUAUAAGAUAUGGGCUACAUACACUUAAGUGGGAUUUUUAGCUUGCAGGCCACACAAGUGGUUCUAUAAAUAGAACCCUUGUGCAGAAGCAUUAGUGCAGUUGUAAUUUCGUUUCUCUCUCUCUCUCUCUCACUCAAAGCCUUCAUUCGUAGCAGCUAGCACUGAGAUUGAAGGAAUCCGUUCGUGUGGACUGAGUAGAGGCGUUGUCAUUGUUCAACGUUCGUGAUCGCUAGCAGCUAGCACUGAGAUUGAAGGAAUCCGUUCGUGUGGACUGAGUAGAGGCGUUGUCAUUGUUCAACGUUCGUGAUCGCUCCGUAGAUCUGCAUCAAAGGUUACAAUCGCCAUAAGAGGUAACGAUUCUAUCACUGAUCAUGCCCAUUCGUAAGGAUCACUAAAGGAGAUCUUUUUUUUAAAUUCUGCUACGUUUUGGAUCGCCUUUCUCCUUCAACAUCAAUGUGUAACAUUUGGUUAACUAUCUAAUUAUGAUACAACAUAAUUAUAGGUGACUAAUUAUGACUAAUUAUAACAAAAUAUUUUAUACUAUCAAUUACUUUAUAUUAUAAAUAAUAAAAUACUAUUAUUUUUUAAAUAUUUUAACUAAAAUUGUGAUUGUCUGUGUAUGUUAAUGAACUUGCGUUAUUAUUUCAAGAGUAUUUUUUUUUAUUUUAUUAUCUCAUUUGCUUAAGAAAAAAAUAGAUAACAUUAAUGCUUUCUUUUAUAAUAAGGUUUAUUUAUUAAUAUUAUAAAAUACUUAAGGUAAGUUUGUUACAAAAGACAUUGUCUUGUUUGAAAAAAAUAUAUAUAUAUUAUAUAUAUAUAUAUAUAUAUAUAUUAUAUAUAUAUAUUAUAUUAAUUAUAUAUAUUUAAUAUAUAAUAUUGAAUUAAUUUAUUAAAAGAGUAAACAUUUAUAAGUAGUUAUUUUAAUAUAUAGUUCAAUAUAUUUUAUUUUAAAAUAUUUAUUUCAAUAUAUGUUUCAAUUUUUAUUUAAAAUAUUACAAUAAUUUAUACCUAAUUUAAAAUAAUUAAUACUAAAAUAAUACUUAUUUAUGUAUUAUAUAAUAAAAAUUAUUAUAAAUGUUUAUUAUUUAGAUAUAUAUAUUAAAUAUUUUAAAUAAUUAUGUAAGACUAUUAUGUAUAAAUGUAAAAUAUUAUAAUAAAUAAUUUUUUAAAUAUAUAAUAAAUAUUUAUAUAAUCAAUUGAUAAUAUUAAAUAUGAAAUACGAAUUAAUAAAAUAAAAGCGUAAGUGUAAUAAAGGUCACUCUAUUUUCUUUUUUAAUAUUUCUAUAUAUAUAUAUAUAUAUAUAUAUAUAUAUAUAUAUAUAUAUAUAAUAUAUAUAUAUAUAUAUAUAUAUAUAUAUAUAUAUAUAUAAGAGAUUAAUUACUAUGCAGUGUAAAAAGAUUUACACGAUCGAUUCAUCACCAUCACCCGUUUGCAUUACUCUAUAGAUUUUUAAAAUAAAAGUCAAAAUUAUUUCAAUAUCCAACAUCUAGGAUUAACUGACGGUAUAAAAUCCUUUUACACUGUCAAUGUACUUCAAUUAAAUUCUAUAUAUGAUAUUUGAUGUAAACAUUUAUACAAGAAACACGUACAAUCUUGAUUUUUUUUAUAGGGGGAUUUUUCAAAGGUCAUUUGUAUAGGAGGGAAAAAAACUUAUUAACCCUUUUUUAAAUACCAAAUUAGGAUCCAUAUAUUAAAAAUAAAAAGAAUAAAGAGCUAACUAAAGUACAAAUAUAUCUAAGAGUACCAAGAGUGCUCAUGAACUAUUAACUAACCAUGGAUAAAAACCAAGACAAAAACUAGACAGAAAAAUAAGAAAAUAUUGAUUUAUGUGCUUGAAAGAAUGAAGACUAGAGCAACCUAUUGAUUUAAUUUUGAUGUUGACUAUGCUCUUAAGAUAAUUCUUCAUUAGUCAUGUUGUUCAAGGCUAUGUUGGUUCAAGUGAUGGUGCUUGAAGAUUAAUCAAGUGAUGGUAAUUAAUAUGUUGAUCAGGUGAUGGAGUUUGACAUCUUUCUAACCAAGUGAUGUUGUUUAAUGUGUUGAUCAAGUAAUGAUUUUUGAUAUGUUUUUAAUCAAGUGACAAUACUUGGUAUAUUAUGGAUCAAGUGAUGGUGCUUGAUAUGUUUACCAAGUCAUAAUGCUUAAAGAUCAAGAUGUGUUGAUCAAGAUAAACUCUCAAGAUCUUUUGAUGCAUUAAUCAAGUAAAUGUGAUAUAUUAUCAGGUUGUAUUGGUCAAGUUGUGAUAAAGUUGUGGUGAUCAAGAUUAUUGUGGUUGGAGAUCAUGUUAUUUAUGCUUAUAUGUGAAGACAACACUUUAUGUCAAGUAGUAUUUGGUGAAGUCAAUGCAGAUCUAUAAUCCAACGAUUUGUUUAAUGGUGGAGAUUGUAUGAAGAGUGAUGACUUCUCGGCAAUUAUACUGAUAAUGUCAAAGUAAUAAAAAGAUAGAAUCCACAGGAACUGCCUUCAAGCAACACAAAAUAUGUGCAAUGUAUACAAAACUAGUAAAAAAAGGGUUUUCGAGUUUCAGUAGGAAAAGUAAAUAAAUGAGUAAACAAUAUCACGAAAACGGUAAGGUUGUGUUCUAGAAUCCCAUAUUCCUCUAUUGUAAAUAAACGAGUACACAACACCACCGAGAAUUAACAAAACUGUUAUAGUCGAUCCCUUAUGAAAUAACUCACUAACCACUACACAUAGCUUUCUAUCCCUUGUUUGCCAGCGUAAGCAGGGUUAGCGGAUGUAUAGAAUGUUAAUUAUCCAUGCCACUACUCAGGGUCUCCUAUUCCUAUUCAACCAACAUAAGUACAACAAUUGCCCCAGGUCCAACACAUAGACUAAUGGUCAGUAUUCUCUAUGUGCCCAAGAUCAGAUUAAAAAGGUAUCUCACACAAAAAGCAUUAAGAACAAAAAGCAAUUGAAUGGUAUUAUAGAUCAAAAGGUUCAUAUAAAGUCAAAUCUACAUAUAAUCCAACAAUAGAGAAAUAGGUUCAACAUAACACAACCUAACUUAUAGAAGCUUAGCUACUCAUAAUGCAAUUAAUAAUACCACAAAUGAUAGAUAAAGAUAACAUGUGAAAUCCCUUAAAAUAAUGACCUCCAAUGGCUUCAAAUCCUCUAAAAGUCACCACCUGUGCUCUCAAAAUCGUGCCUUGAUCUCCCAAUUUCGUAAUCCUUGUGAAAGUGCAGAAAAUCCUCUUUUAAAUGCGUCAGAAUGGAGUAGAGCGCAUCAGAAAAGCCCAUAAAAUGUAUCUAUCAUGCGUGUGAUACCUUGCAUGGCGUGUGCGAUGCUGUGCAAUGGUGCAUGUUAUUAUUUCUGAAGUUGUAUCCUUUUUUACUCAAAGUUUCACUAAGUCGACAAUUUUCACAAUUAGCUAUUUUAUCCUCAUUCUUUGGUCAUUCUUCUUCAUUUUGACUCAACUUUCACUUGUUUUUCUCUGAUUCUUCGACUAAAUAUAUGCAAUGAAGGAAUGCUAUCAUAACCCCAAACUUGAAUUGUUGUUUAUCCUCAAGUAACUCUCCUGCAACUGCACAUUUCAACAAAAAACAAGUUGCAAAAUAACAAUCGAACAUCACCAAAUUAAAUAUUUAUUUCACAUGACCAUUGUUCUAGCUUCCAACUUUUAUCCUCCGAAUUUGGAAAAUAUCCUCAACAUUGACGAGUACUUAACCUGUCUCUCAGCUUACUAUAACUCACUCAAUGGAUAUGGUGAUCUUUUAAUCAACAUGUAAAACCAAUUAUGAUUAGCUGGAUCAUAUUCUAAUAGAAUUCAUCACAGAAAUCACAACACACAUAUUAUAUGUCUUUUUAGGUUGUAACUUGGCUUAUGUUUGGGUAGGAUAUUUUUAGGAAAGUAGGUUUAAACUUUUAGAGUUAGGUGCCUAGUUCUCUUUCGAUCCUCAUACCUCUUUGUUCCUUUUUGACGGUACUAGAGAGUUUUUGUCCUUCUUAUAAUAUCAUUCAUUUUUUUCUCAUUUUUUUAAGAAGAGUCUUUUGUCACUUCUUUUUUUUUUCUCAAAAUUUUUGGACCAUAUUCUCUAGUACCGCAAGCCCAAACUUAAAACUUAGCUCACUUCCAAGAGCAACCCAAACUUAAUUGUUUCGAUAUAAUUUAUGAAUUAUACUUCUAGCUAACGACAAAGAGAGAGUGGAAAGAAAAGAUAUUUCAAGUCAUAUGGAUAAGAAUUUUAGGCUACAUCACCGAAUGAAAGGCUAAGGCUCAAAGUAGUUAGCAAUGGAUAUAACUAUUACUACAUGGUGGUUUACAAAGGCUCAAAGUUAUAAAUAAAAAACUUCCUCAGUGUGUCGGUCAAACCAGAUAACUUAAUCGGAAAUAGAUCAAACCAAAUAAAAUAAUAAUGCAUGGAUACACUCAUAAAGAAAGAAAUGUGAACAAUGGAAGUUAUUUGGCUCAAACCUUACUAGAUGAGGUAUUUGUAGGUUGAGUACAAGUUCGUUGAUUCUUUUCUCAUCCUUCGCCUUCAAGUUGCUAGUUGUUAUUGUUAUGAUCAAGUUUCUUUUGGAUCAUUUGUUUAAUGCUACAGUGCUAAACUUGCAAAAAAUAUGAAGAAAAAAACACAGCUACAAACUCGUUUAUUAAAGACAACACAAAUCAUCUUGGAAGGGUUAUGCUCGAGUAGCUAAUUCCUCUAAUGGAAGGUCUUGAAUAAAAAUAAAGUAAAUUCUGCAAAACAAAAAAAACGGGUUGAAAUUGAUGGAUUUCCUCCCACCCAACGCUUCUUUAAGGUCCUAAGCCUGACCUUUUCGAUUUUAGUGUUAGGGCGGCAUAUAUGACACGAAAAACACAUCAUCCUUAUUCUUCCUUUUGUUUGGUAGGAAUUCCACCACUUUCAAAAAUUGAAGGUUUUUCUUCCAUAUUUUCUUCAAUUUGAUAGUAUCAAACAAGGCAUAAAUCUCAUCCAAUACUUCAUCUAUUUCUCCUCUUUUAUCAGCCUUGUUGCUAGGUGUAUGACUAUUCUUUUGUUGAAGAUCUUGUAGUUGGGUAUCUACAUCUAAAUGAAUGAUUGAAUUUGGAGCUUCAUCCGAAACUAUAUAAUCUUCAUAUUGCAUUCUUGUCCUUUUCCAACAUAUAAUUUUCACCUCCGCUUCUUCUGUUCUUGUUUAUAUUUCUUUAUCAGAUAGUGUUCAUUUUUCUUCUUCUUUCUCUUUCUCAAUUCCUCCUUCAUCGACGAUCUCGCAUUCCUUUUUGAAUUAUCUUUCAAUUUUCUUAUCUAUGGGACUAUCUAAAUUUUCCCAUCGAACUCCCCAUUAACGCUCAGUUUAAAUGCUAAUUGGGUAGCUACUAGACCAAGCUGCAUAGCUAAGUUCUCGGAGGAUGUUUCCAUGUUACUUCACCCGGUCUCUUGAAGCAUGUUGAUUUUCUCGAAAUUGAGUUGAGUCAUCUUUAUAAACUGAGUCAAGGUUUCUUCAAGUUGAGAUGAUGAAUCCUCCUCCCAUGAAUGAUCAGUGUUGAUGUAAGGUACUGGCUCUGAAUAAUUUCUAGCAUUUUCCAGAAUGAGCAUUUUUGUUGCAAGCUCCUUUGAAAAAGAUUCAAACUUUACAAAUGUAGCAUAGACGUCAUCUUGCAAGAUUGUCUUGACCUUGCAUACAAAACAAAGAGAAGAAAAACUUAGUAGCAUUGCACUAGAUAAAAAAAUUGAACAAAAAUAAAACUAAAAAGAGAAAGAAAUAGAAAAGAAAAAUUAAAAAGAAACAAUAAUAAAAUAUUUACAAUUAAAAACAAAAAUAAAAAUAAAAAAACUAAACGUCGCCUUGUUGAAAAAUCAACAGUCCCCGGCAACGACGCCACAAACUUGACGACUUCUUGGUAAGUGUACCGAUGAUUCCAAAGUAAUAAAAAGAUCGAAUCCAUGGGGACUGCCUUCAAGCAUGACAAAAUAUGUGCAAUGUAUAGAAAACUAAUAAAAAGGGGGGUGAGUUUUAGCGUGAAAAGUAAAUAAAUGGGUAAACAAUAACACGAAAGCGGUUAGAUUGUGUUCUAAAAUCCCAUAUUCCUCUAUUGUUGAUGUUUAAUGCCUUGUAUGAAUGGUCUUAUCACUAUAACACCAUAGAGAAUUAACAAAACCGUUAUAAUCGAUCUCUCACGAAAUAACUCACUAAUCACUACUCAGAGCUUUCUAUCCCUAGCCCGCCACCUUAAGCAGGAUUAGGCAAUGUAUAGAAUGUUAAUUUUCUAUGUCACUACUCGGGGUCUCCUAUUCAUAUUCAACUAGUGUAAGUACAACAAUUUCCCUUGGUCAAACAUUUAGACUAAUGGCCAGUAUUUCCUAUGUGCCCGAGAUCAGAUUAAGAGAGUAUCUAAGAUAAAAAGCAUUAAGAAAAAUAAGCAAUUGAAUGGCAUUGUAGAUCAAAAGGUUCAUACAAAGUCAAAUCAACAUAGAAUUCAACAAUAGAGAAAUAGGUUCAUCAUAACACAACCUAACCUAGGGGAGCCUAGCUAUUGUUAGGGACCAAUUAGUACUACUUUUUAUAUAAUUUUAUUGGUCCCUUUUACCAAUUUUUGAUGUAAUUACACACUUUUAUUCUCACAAUUUUGUACAAAUGCAAUUAGGUUUAAUUGAUGUUAUUUUGAGUAGUUAUUUCACAUAUUUGUUAGUUUUGUAGAAUUUUUGGACAAGAGAGCGUCGGAAUGCAUAAUCAUAAUUUGGAAGAAAUGUUGAAUGUAAUUUGGAGGCAUAAUUUGGAAUAUUAAAACUUGGGAGAAUCAUUGCAUGAAGCUUGCAAGGCAAGGAAGCUGAAGUAGCUUCAGUUCGCGCUGCGACCAGGGAUGGCGCCGCGAACCUUGCGAAUCCAGCAAGUUGUUUUGGCCAAGUGUUCUGUUUUCAAGCCAGCUUUGUGUGACAUUUCUGUAUCUGUUUUAGGGUGCUUUUCAGUUUUAGAUGAAAAUGAACAUUUUAGGAAAGGUCAACUCUUUAAGAAAACAGAAUGGAAAAUAGUCAUUCAUUCAUUCAUAGUUUCAUAUUUUGUAAGAGAAAAACAGAGUUUAUUCCACCAUUGUCUUUUGCUUUCCAAAAUGAUGAUGAGGAGCUAAACCCUAUUUUGUCAAGAUUGGAGGUAGUAGCUAUUCCUAUUUGUUUAUGUAUUUCAUUUGACUCUUAUAUAUGAUAAAAGGUUAUUGAUGUAUUGAGUGAUAUUUUUGCCCUAAGUUGAAUAUUAGAUUUGAGUAGUUGUUGAAAGAGAUUAUUUAAGUCUUAACAUAAAAUAUAUUUUCAAGUAGUGAAUAAGUUGUAGAAAUAGAUUUAUUCACUACUCUUCUUUUGUAUCAACCAUUAAAGAUUGCUAUAUUGAUAGUUAGGUGGAGAAAUCGUCUAAAGAUUAAUAUAGUAUUUAUCUACAAUAUCAUUUAACAUAAAUCCAUAUUGAGAGGAACUUGAACAUCAUCAAUAAUCUUAAAUCUAUAUAGUUGUCAUAAGGAAUCAUAAGCAAUUUGAAUAGUGAACUCCAAUCUUGUCAAGCCUUUUACAUUUGAUUAAAACUAUUUUAUUGUUUUAGUGACAUUUUACUUAAAAGAUAACUUUUCAAACAAAACAACUUGGUUACAUUUUAAACUUAUAACAAUUUGGAUUAUAGAACGGCGGUAAUAACAACCAAUCUUUGUGGAUACGAUAUAAAAUUAUUUGCCGAAAAUAUACUUUUCAACAGUUAUUCAUAAUGCAACUAACAAUACCACAAUUGAUAGAUAAAGAGAACAUAUGAAAUCCCUUGAUGGAAUGGUCUCCAAUGGCUUCAAAUGCUCAAAAUCGUGCCUUGAUCACUCAACUCCAUAACCCUUGUGAAAGUGAAGAAAAUCCUCUUUUAAAGGCGUCAGAAUGAACCGGAACGCGUCGGAAAAGCCCAGAAAAAGUACCUAUCACGUACGUGACACCUUGCAUCGCGCACGCGAUGCAACCUUUAUCUCACUAUUACAUGCGCGAUUUUGCACGUGAUUAUUCCAGUGGCUGCACGCUUUUGCUCCCUUUUCACUAAGUCCAUAAUUUUCACGCUUAGCUAUUUUGUCCCCAUUCUUUGGUCAUUCUUCUUCAUUUUGGCUCAACUUUCACUUGUUUUACUUUGAUUCUUCGAAUAAAUAUAUGCAAUGAUGGACUGAAAUCAAAGAGUUAUCUCAAGACUCAUUAGAAGAAGGUUUAAGGUUCUAGAUAAAUGAUAAAGCCAAAGAUAAUGUGGCAAGGAACCAGAUGCUUUAGAGUUUUGAAGGAUAGGAAGUGUAAAAACUUAUUUGUUUGUGUCGAGUAAUCAAUAUAUGUUAAGAUAUAAGACAGGUGAUGGCUAAUUUUUGUAUGUGCAGGUAUACAUGGUCAAAUUAGUAUAAAGUGGUGAGAAAAAGUACCGGUUCCAUAGUGAUGGAAUUAAGCAUAACGACUUUCUUACAAGAAGUUGUAAAGUAAACAUGAGUAAAGGUAAUAAAAUAAUAGUAUUGUCAUAUGGUUAAGGAAGUGAAAAAACAUAAAAGAUAAUUAAGGAUUAACACAUAGAGAAAUAAUAGGUUGGACAAUGUUCCAUUUAAUGAAUUCAUUUAAUGUAUGAGUCUGAUAUGAUAUAUCAUGACAUAUGUCGUCAGAAUGUGAUCUUAUGGUGUAUCUCUAUAACACCAGUAACAUAUACAGUAAAGUAAGGGGACAAAUCUAUAAGUCUCACUUGUAAAUUUAAUACAUCUCUAGUUUCAUUCUAAAUGUCCUCUAAGAUUGUAGCUAUUUAUGUCUAAAAUAGUUAAUAUAGUGUAUAUCUCUAUUCUACUAUUUUCAAUCACAUUUAUCAUGAGUUCCACUUAUUACUGGUUGUCUCACAACAACAUGCUUGUAUAUUUUCCUAAGGUGGUCAGAAAAAGGAAUAAACAUAUGGCAUAAAUUUGCAUGAAUAAAAUAUAUCAAGACAACUCAUUCAUAACAUUCAAAAUAUUACUAAUUCAUUAAACUUCACAUUAUCUAACAAAGAAAGUUUAGCUCAUAAUGAGUAAAACAAGCACAACAUAUAAAGAUCUUAAGCUACACAUUUCUAAGUAAGAAGAUAUAAAUGAUAAACCUAAGGAUGCAAUUUUAACCACUUGCAAUUUGUUAAUCAGCAAGCAACAUCUUUUGUCAUGCCUCCCAACGUUGUUUCCUUCAAUCUGACGAGACCGGAGUCACGUUGGAACUUUUCAUAUUCCUAAAUUUCCCUUAUGAAGAAUUUUUUCCAAGUUUCAGAACCAUUUUCUUCAUUGCAUUGCAACUCUAUUGAUAGGGUUUUCUAGCUACACAAUGUCUCUCUAUUUAGUUCUUGGGCCUUUACAAUAAUCCAUUAACUUAAGCCUGAAGAAUAAAGCAUAUUCCUUUAUAUUGUAUUAUGAUAGUACACUGAAUAUGGGAGACAUCAUGACACUAUCACAGUGCUGCAGAAGCAACAACAGUGUAGGAGCAGCAAUACAACAGUAGGAACAAAUCUUGACAUCUUUUCAGAUUUUGUCUUAUAAUGUUUCAUCCUUAUCCAUUCAUUUUCUCCAACUCAAGCCUAUUUUAUUCUCAAAUAUCUUCCUCGUCAGAAUUAUCGCUGAAGUUGAGAACUCAUACCAACAUCUUUUGGUUCAAGGCCUGUUAGAUGGUGUUCAAAGAUUCUUUGCGUGAUAGAACUUAUCACCAGAGCUAAUUCUACACAAGCACAAAACACAUAAAAUUAACAAAAGAGAGAACCUAGUUACCUCUAUUCUUAAUUAACUAAAGUAACAUAAAAUAUAAAUAAAUGACAUUACUUAAGCUCUAAUAUACCCUAAAAUCAUAGUCUAAAAGGCUUAAAUAUUUCACACAAAAUGAGUUAUCAACAGACUCUCAAUUUUACUAACAAAAAUGAAAUACACAUUUAAACUUUUUCAGAAGCAUCUCUUGAUAUUAUAAAAUCACCUAAAAAUAUUUUAAAAGCCUAGAAAAUUGAUUUGAGAACUAUCUAACUAAUUAGAAGCAAGUUUAUAAGAAAUUAAUCAAUUUUGCCUUUUGGAGUAGUCAAUUAUUUCACUUCGUAACGUUAAAAAUCAAUUAGAGAGGUCUCUUAAAUGAUUGAAAUGUCUGGAAAUCAAAAUUUUAUAUUUUGAGGUGUCAUAAUUGAUUAUGCACUUAAUGUUAUCAGUUAUGAGCUUAAUUAUCUAAUAGAUUGUUUCCAAAUUUAUGCCAUAUUUUGUCCUAUAAAUAGAGGGUUCCUCGAUCAUUUCGAAUCAUCCAGAAAACUGAUGUGAUCCUUCUUUCUCACUCUUAACUCUUUUUAUACAAAUCACUCUUCUCACUUUAGUUUUUUCCUGGUGCUUUGGCAGUGAUUUUGUUCUUUGUGAGGAUCAUUGUGUCUGGCGUGGGGAAAAUUUGCAAAUUGCUCAAGAGUGUAUUAUCUCUUGUGCAAUAUAUUCCUUAUAAGAAUGUGUUGUUUGGUUGUGUGAAAAAGAAUUAUAACCUCUCAUUUGGUUGUGAGCUAAACUAUUUAAAGCUCUUGUUUGGUCGGGAAGGUCUUCAUACUUAAAACUCUAUGUUGGUUCACGAGCUUUCCAUACAUUAAAACCUCUAUCUCUUAGUUCGUGAGUUUAGCCUGUGCUAAAAUCUAUCAUUAUUUAUGGAUGUCUCCAUACUUAAAACUACAUUUUUGGUUGAGAAGUCAACCAUUGAAAAACUCCAAUCAUUAUAAAAGGCGGUUCGUGGAUAUUAUUCUCUUAAAAGCUUUCAAGAUAGUGAAAACUCUUGAGAAAACUUAUUGGGGAGAGGAGUAGAUAACUUUAUUAAGACUGAACCUCUGUAAUUAUGGUGUUUUCUCUUAUCCCUUAACUCUUUAUUUUCUAGUCAUUUAUUUAUGCUACAUUUUUGUUUUCUUAUUCUCACUGGUUUUACUAUGUUCGUUUUACAAAAGGUUUUUAAACUUCUUUUUUUUGUAAAAUAUUUUGUUUUGAAGUAUGGGCAUGGACCCACUUUGACGCCAAGCUAACUAUCAAGGAUCACAUGAUUAAUUGUCAACCUUUCCAUGGAAAAAAUCACUUUUUCUGAAAUUCCCAAAUAGUCCAAACCACAAAAUGAUAUAUCAAGAUUAGGCCUAAAUAUGCCAGCCCAGCAAACGCCCUUCAUUACGGUGAUGGUCAUUUUCUCGCCCAUGAUCCAACAUGCAAUUUUUCCCACUUCCAGCAUUUUGUCCACCUCUUUGGCAUAAAUUUAGAAGUUUCAGAGUAAACCUUUCACUAAAAAUAGGACCUUAGUUCACUAUUUUUGACAUCCAAACUUAGAUUUAGCCAUAAAUUUACUCUUGUAAAACAUAAAUACUCCAUAUUUAAGUGUCAAUUUAUUUUCUGCAUCUUUUAGAGUUUUUGUUGUUGAAGUUUAUUUCAUGUUACUGCAAUUAAUUAUUUCCUGCACAAUUAGUUCAAGUUUGUUGUUGUACCAGAUAAAAGUCUCCCAUAGGAACAAUUUAUUUAUACAAGUGUCAAUAUAUAUUCACCUUUCAGGUUCUUUUACUUUUACUACUUCUGCAAUUAUGUCUUAUUUAAUUGCAUGACUAGAUUUAUAUAGGGUCCGAAACAUGAGGAUCAUUUACUAGUAAAAUUCAUACGAAAUGCUCCAUUAGAUUAAUCAUAAUGAGAAAAAUGCAUGUUUUUUGAAUUUCUGUGUAAACGAUAGAAAAUGUUUGCUACAAAAGUAGAAAUAAAGAGAUACCAUUUAUGCACCUACGUGAGCGACAUCAGACUUAUAAUUCAAAUGAUCGGUUCCGAAGGCUUGCAAAACAGGGUCAAAGUUGAUCGAGAAAAUACUUACAAAAUUUGUUUUAAAAUAUUAAUUUUUGAAAAUUAAAUAUUUACUUCGGAAGUAGAAGCUAGAGAUAUUAGUUACGUAUUGAAAGAGCGAAUUUAGUAUUGAAAAUAUUAUUCAAACAAUUAAUUUCAAGGUAGUGAAAGCAUCUUGAAAUUAAUUGAGUAUUUUUUUUUUAACUUUAAAAGAAUUUUAGAUAUAUUAAUUUCACUGCGAAAGCCGAUUUUGGGGUAUUUAGGAAUUCAGUGACAAAGACUCGUAAGUGGGCGUCGCUAUUAGUUGAAUAUUUUCUACAAAUAAAUUUUUAUUCUCAUUAUAAUGAACAACAUUUUGUAUGAAUGGAAUUGGUAGACGAGAAUUGACAUUUCGGUCCCUUACUCGUUAUUUGAUUAAUUUAAACCAAUUUACUGCAUUAUUUACCUUUUCGCUAAAACAAAUCAUACACAUAGUCUUAGAUAAACACAAUAAUAAUAGAUAAAGAUACUUGUCGAUUGGUCUAUAUGGGAUUCGACAAUCUUUUGUACUAGAACAAAUAAACCCGUGCACUUGCCACUACUAUAAAUAAUACAUUUCAUGACAAAACUUUCACCUCACCCCACAAAAAACCAAGGUAUAAUGCACAUGCGCGCCAUAUUUUAUUUUUUAUUUUAAAUAAAUACCACAUAUUCCCUUGUUUUCUAAAUAUAACCGAUGGAAAAAUAAUUCAGGACAUACUCCAGAUCUCAGCAAUAACAGUUUAUGUUUUUAUUUAUUUAAAAGUGGUACCUUUUUUUAUUUUAUUUUUAAUUUUAAAUUAAUAAUUUAUUCCUUUAGUUAUAUUUAAUAACCGAGAAAUUAGAUUAUCAGAUUUUACUAUAAAAACUCUCCUUAAUCAAAUUUUACCCUAAACCUAAAUUAUAUGUAUCUGCUCCAAACUUGUACGUAUCAUGCUUUUGGAUGGAUUGCAAGACAGAAAAAAUCUUCAAUGUUCUUCUAUCUUGAACAAAACAUUUUUUUCUGCUCUUGUAAUCCAUCCCAACAUAAUGGUGUUGAUGUUGUUGUUGUAUUUUUGGAAUAACAUUCAUAUGUAGUCAAUAAAAAAAACAUUACUUAUUUUAUUGUUUUCCUCGGUUGACAAUAUUGAGAAAUGUAUUCCUAAAUAUAUAGUAAGUUACAAGCACAUGUAUCUUGUUCUCUUUCAUGUGAAAGCAUUUUCCAUGAAAAUAUUUGCUCAGGAUAAUAAAAUCUAUGUAUGAUGGAUUACAAGUGCAGAAAAAAAAUUCUCGCGGUUUUGAAAAUAUUUGUUUAGACAAUUUAUUUUAAUAUUAUGUAUAAACAAUGUAAUUAAAAGAAAGAAGCUUUUUCCCCUAGGUUUAUUAGAGAAAUCGAGAGCUAUGCGGAACUUGGAAUGAAACAUAUUUUAUUGUAUUUUUUAUUUAAAAAGAAACACGUUUUACCUCGGCUUUGAGUAAAAAUCGAGGGAAAAUAUAAGUGUGUUUAUUGAGUUUAUUCAUCAAAGAAAUCAUUAUCGUCCAUUUAAGGAUUAUCAAUGUUCAAGACACUAUCAUUAAUGAUCCGCAUGAAACCUAAAAGACAUUAUGAAAUAAUUUGGAAAAAUUGAUAAUGAAACACUGGAUAUGAAACCUUUGAAACUUAAAAAAAAAUAUUUUAUUUGGGAAAAUUUCUCUAUGAUGAAAAUUAUUUGGGUUUAAGGUUUGUGUUCUUAAAUGAUCAUAUAACUGAAUAUUUAUCUUAUUUAUCUAAUAUUUUCUUUUAUUUUAUAUUCGAAACAAAUAAAUGCAAAAGACAUAGAGAAUAUAUUGCAUCUAACAUUUGAUCUUCCUCAAGAUCAAUGAAACGAGGAUCUCUAAUAUUUGUUCUUCUCCAAGAUAUCCAACAUUUGUUCUUCACCGACAGUGAUGACGAUGAAUCAGAUUCAAAAUUUGUUAUAUAUUUUUAUUUUAAUAUUUUGUUUAAACAAUGCAAUAUUCUGUGUAAUAUAUGUAGUUUGUAAAUAAAUUAAUUUAUUAAUAUUCUAUGUAAACAGUGUAAUUAUUAUUUUUAUAAAGAAUAUAUUUUUCUCCUCGGUUUUAAUCAUAAACCAAGAAGUAUAUGACGCUAGUUUUGAAAAUAUAAAAAAACUAUUGUUGGAGAUCGAAUCAAUCACCAUUUCAACCAUCCCCUCAGUUAUUCUAAAACCGAUAAGUAAAUUGGCAAAUUUUCAUGAUGUCGUUCAUUGACUUACCUCUAUAACCAAAGUUAAAUCAACUUCGCAUCUGAAGUUAAAUAUUUUUUGUAGUAGUCUGCGGCCUAUCAAUAAACAAUACAUUUUAGUACUUUUAGCUAUUAUUAAUGUAGGAUACAAAAGGUUUAUCAUGUCGUGUUAAAGUAUAGUGUAAUAACCUAACCUAUCAAACAUGCUUGUGAAUAAAAAAUUUAGCUUAAGAUCUGGAGCAUACCUCACAUCUUGUAAAAGGAUUUCACAUGUUGUUAAACAUCCUCAGACGAAUUGAACACAUACCUUAAACCUUGCACACUUUUGUGUUUUCAAGUUGAAUGAAUUCACAUUCUUUUAGCUUUUAAGUUUUAAAAUAUUCCUUACAUUGAAAUAUUUAAUAAGAGCAUAUAGAGUUUAAGACCCAAUUAUUUUUUAUAUUUUAUAUUACACUACAACAAAUAAUAUAUUUUAUGAUAAAGUUUUCACCUCAUCCAACGAACAAUCGAGGUGUAAACUAUAGGCACCCACAUUUCAAUUUUCUUUAAUAAAAAAUGAUUAUCUAUUUCCUCGGUUGAGCAGACAACCGAAGAAAAAUGUUUUGAUCAACCCCUUCAAAUUCCAACAACUACAUUUUAGUACACUUUUUUUAUGACCUAUUCAAACUUAAUGUAAUUAAAACAAUGAUAGUGCAAGAACAUAAAGUAUAGUUGCAUGAAGUACAAUAUCACUAUAUAGGAUGAAUUGCAAGAACAUAAAAAUGUGUUAAAGUUGGUUCCUUAAUGUAAUCUCUUCUCUUGUACAUGCUAAAAUUAUUUUCUUAAAUGCAUGUUUGUUAAAAAUGUUUGACUUUAGUUAGGAAAGCAUGAAUGUAACAUUACAAUGUUAGUUAUUGUUGUUAGAAAUAUUGAAAAUAAAUUCCGUUCAGUCAGAAGAUAAAUUAAAUAUUAAAUCUAAACAUUUUACUUGACACAAGAACAACUAACAUUGCUAAGUUACAUUCAUUUUUUCAUAACGUAAACAUUUUUAACAAGCAUGCAUUGUAGAAAUUAAUUUUAACAAUUACAAAAGAAGAGAUAUAUUAAGUAACAAACCUUGACCAAAAUACUGCUCUUAUAAUCCAUCCUGGAGAAUGGUGUUAUUGUUGUUGAUUUCACUUCGGUAGAAAACCAGGAUUUCACCUUUGUGAAAAAACCAAUUGAGGGGAAAUUGGAGGAUUUCACCUCAUUGAAAUAACCAACGGAAGAAAAAUGUGGAGCACUUUUCAUUAUACUUUACGUUACCUCGUAAAAACUCUUUUCCAACCGAAAUAAAAACUCUGAAUCAUUCACCAAAAUUUUUGGGAAAUAUAUGAAUAUAAGUGUUUAGGAAAUAUAUACAUAAGGCAGGUUUUAGGUGUUAACAUUCAUUGUGUAUCUUUCUCUAAAGUAACUCCACAAUUAUGAGAGAAUUGGAAGUGACCCUAUUGUAUGUGUCAAUGAAUUUAUGAGCAAAAUAAAGAUACCAAGGUUGAAAACACUGUGGAGGAAGAUCAAGAGAGAAAACAAGAGGAGAAUUUUUAGAUCAACUUCACCUGUGUUUCUAUACGAUUCUAGCUCUUACUUACAAAACUUUGAUGAUGGUUAUUCCAAUAAUGAUGAUUUUUCGAGGUCAUUCUCAGCUCGAUAUGCAACCCCAACCUCCAAGAUUUUAAAGAAGAACACUGAGCUGAAGUUUGACGAAGAAAUAACGGAAACAAACGAGCUAGCAACAUGAUAUCUGAGUUCCUUAAUCUGGACUCAAUUUCUUUCUUACUUGGGAAUUAUGACUUAUAAUUGUACAAAGGUUUUAGUUAUGUUAUCUUGUAAAUCUAUUUUAACUCUUAGAUUUUUUAAAAGAUUUCAUUUCUCAUUUCUUCUGUCAUAUAUGUUUUCUACUCCGUUCUAUUUUUUAUUUUUUUAUAUACUUUUCCUUUUAACAUAUGAAAAAAUUAACAUUGUAUUUUAAUACAUAUACAUUAAUAUAUAACUUAUAAUUUCUCAUGAUACUAAUAGAAAGAAAAAUAAAGGAAAGAAAACGCCAACACCAUAUAACUCUUCAAUAAAUUAUUUUGUUUGAUAAUUUAUUAGAAACUAUUAAUUUAACUAAUUCAAUUUAUUUUUUCUAAACAAAGAGAGAAAUGCAUUAAAAUCAAGCACAGGGGUACUAGACCCAAUACAACAGAAGAAAAUCAACUACCCUUUAGAUUUAGCACCUAACCAAUUUCAAGAUAACAAUUUGGGAACUAGCACAAUAUCUAAUGCUCAUUUUAUCCAACCAUUGAAGAGAAUGUGGAAAUUAACAAUCUAAACUUCUUACCGGACUUCUCCUUUUAACAGCUUAUCAAAAUGCAGCAAGUGAUCCACUAAAGACAAGUCUUCCUUUACCAUUGACAAGCUGAGCCAACCGAAAUUUUCUUCCAAACCAGACAGCAACCGGACACAGAAGGAACAAAUGCAAAUGUGAUUCCUCCUGCCUAAGCGGACACACCAAAUUAUGCUGACCCGACAACACAUCUCACUUUACUGACUCAUCUUUUGUUUGCAGCCUAUUAAGAAUGGACCUCCACGCAAAAAUUUGAAUAUUACUAAGAAUGUUAGAUGACCAAAUUAGUCUAAACUAAUUCAAUUAUUGAUUGUGACAAAGAUUUAUAUAAAUUAAAAAUUAAUACAAGAAAAUAAUUAAGCUGCAUUAAUAUUAAAUAAUGAGGAAUGUUAUAUGGUUCUUUUUAGAUGGCCAUCCAACACACCUCUAAAUUCCCUGCCACUUAAGAGAGACUCUAUCCCAAUCAACUAGAGAUAUGGAAAAACCUGAAGUAUGGGCAUGGACCCACUUUGACGCCAAGCUAACUAUCAAGGAUCACAUGAUUAAUUGUCAAGAUUUCCAUGGAAAAAAUCACUUUUUCUUAAAUUUCUAAAUAGUCCAAACCAUAAAAUGAUAGAUCAAGAUUAGGCUAACGCCCGUCGAUGGUCAUUUUCUCGCCCAUGAUCCAACAAGCAACUUUUCCCACUUCCAGCAUUUUGUCCACCUCUUAGGCACAAAUUUGGAAGUUUCAGAGUAAACCUUUCACUAAAAAUAGGACCUUAGUUCACUAUUUUUGACAUCCAAACUUAAAUUUAACCAUAAAUUUACUCUUGUAAAGCAUCAAUACUCCAUAUUUAAGUGUCAAUUUAUUUUCGGCAUCUUUUAGAGUUUUUGUUGCUAAAUUUUAUUUCAUGUUGCUGCAAUUAAUUAUUUCCUGCACGUAUAAAAGUCUCCCUUAGUAACAAUUUAUUUAUACAAGUGUCAAUAUUUAUUCACCUUUCAGGUUCGUUUACUUUUACUGCUUCUGCAAUUAUAUCUUAUUUAAUUGCAUGCUUUUUAGUUAUUUACUUUACCAUGUCUGACUAGAUUUAUAUAGGGUCCGAAACAUGAGGAUCGUUUACUGGUAAAAUUCAUAUGAAUGCUCCAUUAGAUUAAUUAUAAUGAGAAAAAUGUAUGUUUUUUGAAUUUCUGUGUAAACGAUAGAAAAUGUUUGCUACGAAAGUAGAAAUAAAGAGAUACUAUUUAUGCAUCUACUUGAGCGACAUCGGACUUAUAAUUCAAAUGAUCGGUACCGAAGGCUUGCAAAACAGGGUCAAAGUUGACCGAGAAAAUACUUAAAAAAAUUAUUUUGAAAUAUUAGUUUUGAAAAGUAAAUGUUUACUUCGAAAGUAGAAGCCAAAGAUAUCAGUUACGUAUUGAAAGAGCGGAUUUAGUAUCUGAAAAGAUUAUUCAAACAAUUAAUUUCAAGGUAGUGAAAGCAUCUUGAAAUUAAUUGAGUAUUUAUUUUUAAAUUUAAAAGAAUUUUAGAUAUAAUAAUUUCACUACAAAAGUCGAUUUUGGCGUAUUUAGGAAUUCAGUGAGAAAGACUCGAGAGCGGGUGUCGCUAUUACUUGAAUAUUUUCUACAAAUCAAUUUUUAUUCUCAUUAUAUUAAACAACUGCAUUUUGUAUGAAUGGAAUUGGUAGACGAGAAUUGACGUUUCGGUCCCUUACUCGUUAUUUGAUUAAUUUAAACCAAUUUACUGCAUUAUUUACCUUUUCGCUAAAAUAAACCAUACACAUAGUCUUAGAUAAACACAAUAAUAAUAGAUAAAGAUACUUGUCGAUUGGUCUAUGUGGGAUUCGACAAUCUUUUGUACUAGAACCAAUAAACCUGUGCAAUUGCCACUACUAUAAAUAAUACAUUUCAUGACAAAACUUUCACCUCAUCCAAUAAAAAACCGAGAUAUAAUGCACAUGCGCGCCAUAUUUUAUUUUUUAUUUUAAAUAAAUACCACAUAUUCCCUCGUUUUCUAAAUAUAACCGAUGGAAAAAUAAUUCAAUACAUACUCCAGAUCCCAAUAAUAAUAGUUUAUGUUUUUAUUUAUUUAAAAGUGGUGCCUUUUUUAUUUUAUUUUUAAUUUUAAAUUAAUGAUUUAUUCAUUCAGUUAUAUUUAAUAACCGAGAAAUUAGAUUUUUAGAUUUUACUAUAAAAACUCUCGUUAAUCAAAUUUUAUCCUAAACCUAACGUAUAUGUAUGUGCUUCAAACUUGUACGCAUCAUGCUUUUAGAUGGAUUGCAAGACAGAAAAAAAUCUUAAAUGUUCUUCUAUCUUGAACAAAACAUUUUUUCUGCUCUUACAAUCUAUCCCAACAUAAUGGUGUUGAUGUUGUUGUUGUAUUUUUGGAAUAACAUCCAUAUAUUUUCAAUCAAAGAAAACAUUCCUUAUUUUAUUGUUUUCCUCUGUUGACAAUAUUGAAAAAUAUAUUCCUAAAUAUGUAGUAAAUUGCAAGCACAUGUAUCUUGUUCUCUUUCAUGUGAAAGCAUUUGCCAUGAAAAUAUUUUCUCAAGAUAAUAAAAUCUCUCUAGGAUGGAUUACAAGUGCAGAAAAAAAUUCUCGCAGUUUUGAAAAUAUUUAUUUUAAUAUUAUGUGUAAGCAAUGUAAUUAAAAGAAAGAAGCUUUUCCCCCUAGGUUUUUUAGAGAAAUCGAGAGGCAUGUGACGCUUGGAAUGAAACAUAUUUUAUUAUAUUUUUUAUUUAAAAAGAAACACAUUUUACCUCGGUUUUGAGUAAAAACCGGGAGAAAAUAUAAGUGUGUUUAUUGAGUUUAUUCACCAAACAAAUCUUUAUCGUUCAUUUAAUGAUCAUCAAUGCUCAAGACAUUGUCAUUAUUGAUCCGCAUGAAAACUAAAAGACAUUAUGAAAGAAUUUGGGAAAAUUGAUAAUGAAACACUUGAUAUGAAAACUUUGAAACUUAAAAAAAGUUUAUUUUAUUUGGGAAAAUUUCUCUAUGAUGAAAAUUAUUUGGGUUUAAGAUUUGUGUUCUUAAAUAAUCAUAUAACUGAAUAUUUAUUUUAUUUAUCUAACACAUUCUUUUGUUUUAUAUUCGAAACAAAUAAAUGCAAAAGACAUAGAGAAUAUAUUGCAUCUAACAUUUGAUCUUCCUUAAGAUCAAUGAAACGAGGAUCUCCAACAUUUGUUCUUCUCCAAGAUAUCCAACAUUUAUUCUUCAUCGACAGUGAUGACGAUGAAUCAAAUUCAAAAUUUAUUAUAUAUUUUUAUUUUAAUAUUUUGUGUAAACAAUGUAAUAUUCUGUGUAAAAUAUAUAGUUUGUAAACAAAUUAAUUUAUUAAUAUUCUAUGUAAACAAUGUAAUGAGUAUUUUAAAAAAAGAAUAUAUUUCUCUCCUCGGUUUUAAUCAUAAACCGAGAAUUGUAUGACACUAGUUUUGAAAAUAUAAAAAAAUUAUUGUUGGAGAUCGAAUCAGUCACCAUUUCAACUAUCCCCUCAGUUAUUCUAAAACCGAGAUGUAAAAUGGCAACUUUUCAUGACAUCGUUCAUUACCUCACCUCUAUAACCAAGAUUAAAUCAACUUCGCAUCUGAGGUUAAAUAUGUUUUUUAUAGUAGUCUGGGGCCUAUCAAUAAACAAUACAUUUUAGUACUUUUAGCUAUUAAUAAUGUACGAUACAAAAGUUUUAUCAUGUCGUGUUAAAGUCUAGUGUAAUAACCUAACCUAUCAAACAUGCCUAUAAUAAAAAAUUUAGCUUAAGAUCGGGAGCAUAUCUCACAUCUUGUAAAAGGAUUUCACAUGCUGUUAAACACCCUCAGACGAAUUGAACGCAUACCUUAAACCUUGCACACUUUUGUGUUUUCAAGUUGAAUGAAUUCACGUUCUUUUAGCUUUUAAGUUUCAAAAUAUUUCUUACUUUGAAAUACUUAAUAAGAGCAUAUAGAGUUUAAGAUCCAAUUAUUUUUUAUAUUUUAUAUGUUAUUACAAUAAAUAAUACAUUUUAUGACAAUGUUUUCACCUCAUCCAACGAACAACCGAGGUAUAAACUAUAGGCACCCACAUUUCCAUUUUCUUUAAUAAAAAUUGGCUAUCUAUUCCCUCGGUUGAGCAGACAACAGAAGGAAAAAGUUUUGAUCAACCCCCUUCAAAUUCCAGCAACUGUAUUUUAAUACUUUUAUUUUUUUUAUGACCUACUCAAACUUAAUGUAAUUAAAACAGUAAUAGUAAAAGCAGUUGCAUGAAGUACAAUAUCACUCUCUAAGAUGAAUUGCAAGAAUAUGAAAAUGUGUUAAAGUUGGUUCUUUAAUGUAAUCUCUUCUCUUGUACAUGCUAAAAUUAUUUUCUUAAAUGCAUGUUUGUUAAAAAUGUUUGACGUUAGUUAGGAAAACAUGAAUGUAACAUAACAAUGCAAGAACAAGAACAACUAACAUUAUUAAAUCUAAACAACAUUAAACAUUUUACUUGACACAAGAACAACUAACAUUAUUAAGUUACAUUCAUGUUUUCAUAACGUAAAUAUUUUUAACAAGCAUGCAUUGUAGAAAUUAAUUAACAAUUACAAGAGAAGAGAUAUAUUAAGUAACAAACCUUGACCAAAAUAUUGCUCUGCUCUUAUACUCCAUCCUGGAGAAUGGUGUUGUUGUUGUUGAUUUCACUUCGGCAGAAAACCAGGAUUUCACCUUUGUGAAAAAACAAAUUGAGGGAAAAUUGGAGGAUUUCACCUCAUUGAAAAAACCAACGGAAGAAAAAUGUGGAGCACUUUUCAUUAUACAUUUUGUUACCUCGUCCAUCAAAUCUGAUGUAAAAACUCUUUUUUAACCGAAAUAAAAACUCUGAAUCAUUCACCAAAAUUUUUGGGAAAUAUAUGAAUAUAAGUGUUUGGGAAAUAUAUACAUAAGGCAGGUUUUAGGUGUUAACAUUCAUUGUGUAUCUUUCUCUAAAGUAACUCCACAAUUAAGCCAUGCUCCAUGUGCCUACGUAGUAUUACAGUCACUACUAGGAACCUUUACACAAAAAAAAUAUCAUACCGACUUGGAUUGUUGACAUCAAAAAGAAAUUUUCAUAUUUCUUUUAAAAAACAAAUAGUAACAACUUGAAAUGCUGACAUCAAAAGGAAGUUUUAAAUUUUCUGCAUUAUCCAAACUUUUUUCCUUUUCUUUGUGAUGGUCCAAUUUGGCCCAAAGUAUAUGCUUUGCUGAUGUGGUGAUGAGGAGAUUCAAAAAAUGGAAAGAAAAGUUAUUCAUGCCAUCACUAUAUAAAUAGAGCCUUUAGCCAUAGUCUUAAUUAGUAUAUGCACUCCAAACACAUUGAUUCCUUAAACCAUUUUAUACUUCCUUUCUUAUCUAAUCCAUACACUAUGGACCUUGAAAACUGCAACUGUCUAAGCUCAAGAAACAACUGCAUUUGGUCAAGUUAUGAGAGAAUUGGCAACGACCCUAUUGUAUGCUUCAAUGAAUUUAUGAGCAAAAUAAAGAUAUCAAGGUUGAAAACACUUUGGAGGAAGAUUAAGAGAGAAAACAAGAGGAGAAUAUUUAGAUCAUCUUCACCUGUGUUUCUUUAUGAUCCCAGCUCUUACUUACAAAAUUUUGAUGAUAGUUAUUCCAAUGAUAAUGAUUUCUCAAUUUCUUUCUCGGCUCGAUUUGCAACACCAUCCUCCAAGAAUUUUAAGAAGAAUAUUGAGGUCAUGAAUGAUGAAGACAUAAUGGAGACAAACGGGUUAGCAAUAUGAUCUUUGAGUUCCUUAAUCUGGUCUCAAUUUAUUUUUUACCUGGGAGUCAUGAUUUAUAAUUGUACAAAGGUUUUAGUUAUGUUAUCUUGUAAAUCUAUUUUAACUCUUAGAUUUUUUUAAAGAUUUCAUUUUUCAUUUCUUCUGUCAUAUAUGUUUUCUACUCCCUUCUAUUUUUUUCUUUUUUUAUAUACUAAGAAUGCUAGAUGACCAAAUUAGUCUAAACUAAUUCAAUUAUUGAUUGUGACAAAGAUUUAUAUAAAUUAAAAAUUGGUAUGUCAACCAUCAAUACUUAUUUAUAUGUUUUCAAAAGUAUACUCUCCUUUGAUUGUUUGUACUUUCUUUUUUAGAAUUCAUCGCUUUGAGUUUUUCUGACAAAACUAUAAUGAGAUAACAUCAAGUUUUCUCAAGGUGUCUUGAGUUUGGUCACAUAGGAAUAACAACUCAUAACAAAAGAUAUAAAAAAACAUCAAUCAAAAGAUAAUGAAC